UCCACGCCCUAAACGAUGCACACUAGUUGUUGCUAUGCUAGACAUAGCAGUAAUGCAGUUAACACAGUAAGUGUGCCGCCUGGGGAGUACGGUCGCAAGAUUAAAACUCAAAGGAAUAGACGGGGACCCGCACAAGCGGUGGAGCAUGUGGUUUAAUUCGACGAUACGCGAAGAACCUUACCUGGCCUUGACAUAGAAAGAACUUUCCAGAGACGGAUUGGUGCAGUUUAC
rnacentral:rRNA from 1 species